GGUCCGGUAGUUCAGUUGGUUAGAAUGCUGCCCUGUCACGGCAGAGGUCGCGGGUUCGAGUCCCGUCCGGACCGCCA
rnacentral:tRNA from 2 species